AAAAAACAUCAAAACCCCAAGACUUCGAGAGUGAUUCUACAUAGACAUGGCAAAAGCCACCACACAGUCUAUGGGACAGUCUCAAGCCUCCUGGUAUUCAUCCAAAAAAAAUUGUGAAGAUGAACAGAGCUUUUACGGGUUUGGAACGACAUGGGGGAAUUGAAGGUGGGGAUGAACAGCGCUCUCAUCCACAAUCACAACUGACGGGGCCUUGACCAAGGCACCAAACCCCCAAUUGCUUCCUGUGUGCUGGGCGAAUGGCUGCCCACUGCUCCAGGUGUGUUAAUGGUGUGUGUGUGUGUGUGCUCAUGGAUGGGUUAAAUGCAGAGCACAAAUUUUGAGUAUGGGUUACCAUACUUGAUAACAUGUCAUGACUCACUUUCACUUUGUUAAAUAUUUAGCAGACUCCAAUCAGAUGGAUU
ensembl:lncRNA